rnacentral:rRNA from 1 species
AGGGUUUGAUCCUGGCUCAGAACGAACGCUGGCGGCGUGGCUAAGACAUGCAAGUCGAGCGAGAAGUCUUCCUUCGGGAAGGCGGAAAGCGGCGAAAGGGUGAGUAAUGCAUGGGUAACGUACCCCCGGCUCCGGGAUAGUGUCGUCUGUUUACAGACUUCCGAAAGGGGCAGUAAUACCGGAUAACAUCUCCCCGUCACCUGACGGGAAGAUCAAAGGUCCGCCGGCUGGGGAGCGGCCCAUGUCGUAUCAGCUAGUUGGUGGGGUAACGGCCUACCAAGGCUUCGACGCGUAGCGGGACUGAGAGGUUGGCCCGCCACAUCGGGACUGAGACACUGCCCGGACACCUACGGGUGGCUGCAGUAACGAAUAUUCCGCAAUGGGCGAAAGCCUGACGGAGCGACGCCGCGUGCAGGAGGAAGUCCCUCGGGAUGUAAACUGCUGUCAGGGGCUAGGAAGGUAUGACCAGCCCCAGAGGAAGUCUUGGCUAACUCCGUGCCAGCAGCCGCGGUAAUACGGAGAAGGCGAGCGUUGUUCGGAAUCACUGGGCUUAAAGCGCGUGUAGGCGGGCCUGUUAGUCGGGUGUGAAAUCCCUCGGCUCAACCGGGGAACUGCACCCGAAACUGCAGGUCUUGAGUCAAUCAGGGGUCGAUGGAACUCCAGGUGGAGCGGUGAAAUGCGUAGAUAUCUGGAGGAACGCCAGUGGCGAAAGCGGUCGACUGGGAUUGUACUGACGCUGAGACGCGAAAGCGUGGGGAGCGAACGGGAUUAGAUACCCCGGUAGUCCACGCCGUAAACGAUGCACACUAGGCUGAGGGAGUUCUGACGCUUUCUCGGCCGUAGCAAAAGCGUUAAGUGUGCCGCCUGGGGAGUACGGUCGCAAGGCUAAAACUCAAAGGAAUUGACGGGGGCUCACACAAGCGGUGGAGCAUGUGGAUUAAUUCGAAGCAACGCGAAGGACCUUACCUGGGUUUGACAUGCACGGAUGAAACCUGUGAAAGCAGGGGACUGCCCUUUGGGUGAAACGUGCACAGGUGCUGCAUGGCUGUCGUCAGCUCGUGCUGUGAAGUGUCGGGUUAAGUCCCUUAACGAGCGAAACCCUUGUCGCUAGUUGCCAGCGGGUCAUGCCGGGGACUCUAGCGAGACUGCCGGUGUUAAACCGGAGGAAGGUGGGGAUGACGUCAAGUCCUCAUGGCCUUUAUACCCAGGGCCUCACACGUGCUACAAUGGCCGGUACAGAGUGACGCAAGACCGCGAGGUGGAGCAAAUCACGAAAACCGGUCCCAGUUCGGAUUGCAGGCUGCAACUCGCCUGCAUGAAGUCGGAAUCGCUAGUAAUCGCGUAUCAGCUAUGACGCGGUGAAUAUGUUCCUGAGCCUUGUACACACCGCCCGUCAAGUCAUGGAAGCUGGGAGUACCCGAAGUCGGCCCGUCAGAAGGCUGCCGAAGGUAAGCUCGGUGACUGGGACUAAGUCGUAACAAGGUA